rnacentral:rRNA from 1 species
UUUAUCAAAAACAUCGCCUCUUGCAAAACCAACGAAUAAGAGGUCCCGCCUGCCCAGUGACUCUGAGUUUAACGGCCGCGGUAUUUUGACCGUGCAAAGGUAGCGCAAUCACUUGUCUUUUAAAUGGAGACCUGUAUGAAUGGCAUCACGAGGGCUUAACUGUCUCCUUUCUUCAGCCAAUGAAAUUGAUCUCCCCGUGCAGAAGCGGGGAUACUCACAUAAGACGAGAAGACCCUAUGGAGCUUUAGACACCAAAGAAGCCUACGUCAAACACCCUUAUUUAAAAGACUAAACUAAGUAGACCCUCCCCUAAUGUCUUCGGUUGGGGCGACCUUGGGGAAAUAAAAAACCCCCAUGCGGAAUGGAAGCAUGCUUUCACAACCGAGAGCUUCCGCUCUAAGAACCAGAACUUCUGACCACCUGAUCCGGCAAAGCCGAUCAACGGACCGAGUUACCCUAGGGAUAACAGCGCAAUCUCCUUACAGAGCCCUUAUCGACAAGGGGGUUUACGACCUCGAUGUUGGAUCAGGACAUCCUAAUGGUGCAGCCGCUAUUAAAGGUUCGUUUGUUCAACGAUUAAAGUCCUACGUGAUCUGAGU